rnacentral:lncRNA from 1 species
GGUCUCUUUCCUGUCCUGCCAUGGUAAAGAAGUGCUUAUUUCCCCUUCGCUUUCCACCACGAAUAUUUUUCCUGAGGCCUCCCAGUCAUGCUUCCUGUUUUGCCUGCAGAACUGCAUUUAUGAAGUAGGGACCUGGAAUUGAAGAGACUCCUAAAGGAGAGACAGAAGUUUGAAAGAGCAAGAAGAGUGGAUGUGGAUCCAGACAGAAAAAGAGAACAGCAAAUAUUUGAAAGAGCUUAAGACGUACUCCUCAAGUUUCAGUUACCUGAAGUCAAAUGUGGUCCAAUACACAGACUGGAAUAAGAGACAUUGGAGACUCCAAAAGGUGGGCAGAAUAUUUUCUGGUAGACUGAUAUAUUUCUCCUAAAAAAUUUGGAAAAAUUUUGUGAUGAAGAAGCUACCUGGGCCUGAAGAUAUCUUUUCUGGACAAAGUAAAUGAAUGAUUGAAGACCUGCAAACUGUGUUUGUAACGACUUUCUAAGAUUGAUAGCCUCCGUGUUUCAAUGCUCAUGGAGCAGAUGGAUAUGACUGACACUGCCCUUAAUACUACAGCA